rnacentral:rRNA from 1 species
GAUGAACGCUGGCGGCGUGCCUAAUACAUGCAAGUCGAGCGAACAGACGAGGAGCUUGCUCCUCUUACGUUAGCGGCGGACGGGUGAGUAACACGUGGAUAACCUACCUAUAAGACUGGGAUAACUUCGGGAAACCGGAGCUAAUACCGGAUAAUAUAUUGAACCGCAUGGUUCAAUAGUGAAAGACGGUUUUGCUGUCACUUAUAGAUGGAUCCGCGCCGCAUUAGCUAGUUGGUAAGGUAACGGCUUACCAAGGCAACGAUGCGUAGCCGACCUGAGAGGGUGACCGGCCACACUGGACCUGAGACACGGUCCAAACUCCUACGGGAGGCAGCAGUAGGGAAUCUUCCGAAAUGGGCGAAAGCCUGACGGAGCAACGCCGCGUGAGUGAUGAAGGUCUUCGGAUCGUAAAACUCUGUUAUUAGGGAAGAACAAAGGUGUAAGUAACUAUGCACGUCUUGACGGUACCUAAUCAGAAAGCCACGGCUAACUACGU